CAUUGGAUGAACCAAUCAGUUCGAAGCUGUAGAGUUUGGAGGUGGAUGUUACUAAAGGGAGGAAGUUGAUCACAAGUUUUCUUUCAGCAAUUGGUGAGUUACAGUUUUGUUUCACUUUUCAAGGAUGAGUAUCUUUACUUUGAAAAUGAACUGGUCAUAUUUCUAUUGAAAAUGAAGUGAUGUUGCUUCCCAGGUAAAUAAC